GCGGAGCUAUGUAGGGGCCGAACCGGGCCAUGGCCCGCCCAGGUUUUGGGCCGAAAAAAAUUUAGGUAGUAUGCAUCCCAUGUCCAGCCCAACUGCUGAACUGCAGCCCACCAAAAUGACCAGAACGUCCACGCCCCUGCCUCGUUGACUCAUCGCUCGACCAAGAAAAGCACGACUCAGAGCACGGCGGAGCUAGGUUUGGGAAUUCAGAAGGGCAAUCGGGGGAAGUAGGCGGAGGCGAAGCAGGGCGGCACGGCAGCAGCAGCGCCGGAUCGCCGCCCAUCGCUGCAGCCCGCAAGCCCGCAGUCACGCACUCAUUCACGGCCGCACGUGCACGGCGCUCCUUCCAGGCGGUGCUGGCCGGAGGUCCAGUAACCGACGCCGAGACCAGCUGCUGAAUCAAGCCGAUGAUCUUCCCCAAUUUCUCUCUAUUGUUUUACAAAUUUUAACAGUUAUGGGGAAGACAAUUCAGAGAAGGAUCGGUAUUGUUUUGAAAGGAAAAGGGAUGAUUAUAUCAUAUGAAGAUUCAACUUUCGUGUGAUAACAGUUAUAGGUAGUUUUCUUGUGUUUAGGAGACAUUUGGGAAGCGUUGGAAAGUUGAAAGAGUGUCGAGAAACCAAACCAACAAAUAAGAUGAAAUAGGACUGCUAUUGGAACGAGAUUGGACAGCCCCCGUACAGCAAGGAGGCGCCCCAUGGGGCGCCCCAACUACUAGUAUAUGUACAAUUCGUUGAUCUGUAACCAAUGCACUAAUGUUUAAUAAAUUGGUGUGUUUGAGAGCAAUUUUCUGUGUUUUUUUCUUGCA